rnacentral:rRNA from 1 species
AUUAGACGUACCCGGGUACGUCCCAGCCGUAAACUAUGCGCGUUAGGUGUAUCGGUGACCACGAGUUACCGAGGUGCCGAAGGGAAACCGUGAAACGUGCCGCCUGGGAAGUACGGUCGCAAGGCUGAAACUUAAAGGAAUUGGCGGGGAGCACCACAACGGGUGGAGCCUGCGGUUUAAUUGGACUCAACGCCGGGAAGCUCACCGGAUAAGACAGCGGAAUGAUUGCCGGGCUGAAGACUCUGCAUGACUAGCUG